UGUAGCUUAGUGGUAGAGCACUUGCCUAGCAUGCAUGGACUCCUGGGUUCAAUCCCCAGCA
rnacentral:tRNA from 1 species